CCACCUCACUCAGUUUUUCUACGUUUUUUAAAGUCCCGUUUCGGGGUUUCCAUCUGCACGAACCGAGAAAUAUGGGCAACGGUAAAAUUCUCAAUAAUGCCGCUCUGAAAUGUCAGCUGUUCAAAUGUAAACACGAGUUGGCGAACAAUUCAAAAAUCAGCACGCGCAUUUUAAAAUGGAAAAUUUUCUUAAAUUUUAAGAUUUUGAUGAGGAUUUUGACGAAAUGGUUGAUAAAUUAACCGAGUAUAGGCCAUUGCCACUAUUAAAGAAAUCGCCAUCAGUUUGGGCCUAUGAACGGCAUGGGUGUUUUUGGGAGCGCGAUAUUCCUAGAAACAGCGAAUUUUUUUUUUAAGAUAAUUUUUAAAUUAAUAGGGAGGAGUAUGGCAUCCUUGUGGAGCGCUCUUCGUGGAUUGGCCAAAAAAGACACUACAUUUCUCCUCCCAUAACUCGAACAAAAAAGCCUCGGAGAUGCCACU